rnacentral:sRNA from 1 species
GCCAGGCGCAGUGGCUCACGCCUGUAAUCCCAGCGGCUUGAGAGGCUGAGGCAGGAGCAUCACGAGUUCGAAAGCCAGCCUCAGCAAAAGUGAGGCGCUAAGCAACUCAGUGAGACCCUGUCUCUA